CCCCCCCCCCCCCCCCGGCCCCCGCCGCCGCCCACAACUACCCAUCGCCACCGACCGCCCUCCACGUUGACCACUGCCACCGACUAGCCUCCGCCCCAACCACUGCUGCCAUCGCCCUCACCCACCGCACCCCGCCCAACCACCUCACAGCAGCACCGCCGAGCACCCAACUGACAUGGACAACCACCGGCGCCGACCGGCCCGUCGUCGAGCCACUCCACCGCCGACCCGUCUCCUCUGCCGGGCGCCUUCCAUUGCUACAUCGCGAGCUUCCUCCCCCGAGCAGGCCUCUCCCCAUACUCGCAGUGGUGAGAUACAAAGAUGGGAGAGGAUGCGGCACAAGGAAGCCCUUGGUAUGUUCAGAUGAGCAAGGAUGGCUCCCCUUACCUUAGGAAAGUGGACCUCAAGAUGUAUUCUAGCCACGACAGCCUCCAAUUGUUAGUGUUUGAUCCCAUGGUAUUUCCUUGUGUUUGGACAUUACAGCUACAGUUUUAGAUAUACAAUGUCCUCUUGGGUCCUAACUGCUUCCAAGAAUGUUGUUAUAAUUUAUGGAUGCAGUCUUGAUGCUUAGAAGGACUAAUUUCUCAGGGGAUGAUACACCUUCAAGUUGAUGUAAGCACAAAAUCACGUUGGGAUGGCAACCUCCAUUAAUUUAUAUCAGCAUGAAUUAGAUAUCACCAAUGGAACCUUGCCUGCAGUUUCACAUGCUGAUUAAUUAUACUUUAGUUGGAUACUAAUGCCACGUGAUCUUGUAGUUUAACUCUGUGUGUAUCUAUAAUCUAUUUCUUAUCAUUUUUCUGGAAUGAUUCUGGCUAAGUUUCUAUUUCAAUGAAACAACGGAUUAAAUAAAAUGUUUGAUUUCAUCAACGGUUCAUGUUAAGCUAAACACUAAUAUUUGAUAUAGACUUAAGUAUCAAUACACCCAAGCAAACGUAUCGGGUAUACCUUUAGCAAUUAGAUAACUGAGGUUGUCGUAUAAGAAAAUAAUUUUCACAUAUUUUUUUUCUACUACCACUGCUUCUCAGCCUUAUCAUGUGCAAUUUACAUAAGUUAUCAGCUUAUCGGAAAAUGUUGGUGGCGGUGGACUGGGGGAAAUACUAUGUGUAGCAACGACAAGCUCGCCCUAAAUGUGUUGCUCGCUGAGCCCUAUCGCUGUAGCAGCUCUCGUCCUCUACUUCCUUGUCCUAACCAGGGCAUUUGAUAGGGAGCAGGUUGUUGGGUGGCUGCCUGUUGGGAGCUACCGGAAGAACAAACAGCCCGCCAAUGCCACAGAGACCAAGGCGGAGAACAAAGGUAGAAGCGAGGCAGGAUGGUGCUAUGUCAAGGUCAGCAUGAAUGGAGCCCCAUACCUAAGGAAGGUCGACCUCAAGACUUAACUCGAGCUAUUACCUAGAGCUUGAGAAGAUGUUCAGCUGCUUCGUUGUUUCUAGAUGUUUCUCAAAGAUACACAAGUUGCUGGAGGUUUGGAAGAUCUACAAGUUGGUGCAGUCAUAAUAUAUAUGUAAUAUGCCUUGUUUGUUGAACCUGGAGAUAUUGCAAAGUUUUACUCUGCUUAUUUUGGUGGUUGUUUUUGCACACAAACCACUAUAUCCUCAUUUUGCUUGUGUGCCACAGUUUUUAUUAUCUUGAAACAGAUGUACAUAUGUAUUUGGUCUGUUUAUGAUAUUGAAUGAGGCCUUAUAUAUAACUUUGAUUGAACA